rnacentral:lncRNA from 1 species
UACCUUUAACGGUUGGGCCAAGGAGGAAAUUCAAGCAAGAAGCCCCUGCUGAAACGCCCUCUUCUAAUCUGUGCCGCUGUUAAACCUGUAGGACCCCUCCUGUCCUCCUCGCCAUACCGCGGCCCCACGAGAGUUUGGGUUUGAACCCCCGGUGGGUCUGGCAGAACAGGCUCCCUUAAUUUCUGGGCCCCCAGGCCCACAUCGCAACGUGGUUGCAAAAGCCCGCUGCAAACCGUUUCUUUCGUGAGAGUUCUGGGGAAGAAUCAGCAGCCGAGAUUUCAAACGCGCCCGGCGCCGCGCGGCCAGCGCGGGGCUCUGAGACGAACGCUUCCGUUGCCUCUCGCGCAGAUCGCGUCACGAUCCAUGUCAUCGGGACCGACUACAACAGCUACAUCAUUUCGCAUAUAGACAAAACAACAUUUUCCGGCAUCUACCUGUCUGGCAGGGAGAGAGAAGUGGGAAAGGACAUCAGACAGAAAUUUAUAGAGGUGGCUGGACGUCAGGGGUACCCUGAGGACACAAUCUGGAAUGCCGUGAUAGAAGCUGAACGGCCGUUGGCACUCCAUUGCCAUUGCUACCCAUGACCAGGGACGUUCAGAGAAGAUCAGGGAGAUAGAAGGACUGGACACCAUCGUGAAAGCGAUGGAUAAUGGAGAUCUGGAACUGGUCCGGCAUAUCAGCUUGUAAGUACAGGCCAGCGGUGAUUCCCUUCGCAAAAACUGUCUGGCCCCAUCACUGUGACGGCACAACCGCUAGCAAGACAUCCUUCAAGCAGAGGUUUUCUGGAAAUGUCACCAAGUCAGAGGCAGUUUUCAGAGGGACGGUGUGGAAAGAAAAAGAAUAGCAG